rnacentral:lncRNA from 1 species
AAACCUUGCCUGAAGCUGGGCAGAGCUUCAACAGAGCAGAGACUCGAAUAACAUGUCGUCUCUGGGCUCUUCUUUGGUUCUGGAGAACACAUUGUCCUGGUGCUGUGGCUGGUUCAUGUAAGUGGCCAUGGAGUUGCCGAAGCUGGAGAAUCCGAAGCCAUCAGGGCUCUGCAGCAUCUCUAGCGUGAAGGGUGCUGCUUGGGCUUCUGAUGUGGGGUGCCUGACAUGGCGAAGAGGGUUGGUGGUUGAGUUGUUGGGGAGAUGGGUCAUGAUUGAAGGCCUGAUUGCCAUUGGCAUAUUGUUGUUGGUGGUGGCGGCGGCGGUGGUGUCGGGCAAUGGCAAUGGCCUGUUGACGGAGUGGCUGCCGCUGCCUCGCGCUGCCGGCACAUCAUGGUUGUGCUUCCCCUCGUAGGUUGUUAUCACUGCCCUGAGGUCGUGGGAGGCUCUCUCGACAUGCUUUCUCACGGGACAUCCUGGGUUCGUGCACUUAUAGUAGCUCCUACAAGAAACCAUGAUAACAAAGACUCAGUGCCCAGCUCAAUCUCACUCAGUUUACCUUCUCACCAUUGCAUACAUUCAUGGAGAAAUGGGUUAAGCUUUUCCUAUCAGACAAACCUCUAGGCCAUAAUGUAUCUAAAAGGCAGACAUAAUGUGCAAAAUCCACUUUACAAAAAUGUUUAUAUAAACUAAGGGGUCUUCAGUUAGUAGAAGACAUUGAAUGAUGGGAACAACCUUUUUGAGACUUCGGAGCACAAAAUUAACUGAAAGCAUAAUAAAUACCUAAAAAAGGGUGGAAAAGUAAAAGCAAAGCAAGAUUCUAC